rnacentral:rRNA from 1 species
UACGAAGGGGGCGAGCGUUGUUCGGAUUUACUGGGCGUAAAGGGCGCGUAGGCGGCCUGUGCAAGUCAGUUGUGAAAUCUCCGAGCUUAACUCGGAACGGUCAACUGAUACUGCUCGGCUAGAGUGCGGAAGGGGCAACUGGAAUUCUUGGUGUAGCGGUGAAAUGCGUAGAUAUCAAGAGGAACACCUGCGGCGAAGGCGGGUUGCUGGGCCGACACUGACGCUGAGGCGCGAAAGCUAGGGGAGCGAACAGG